UACGUAGGGUGCAGGCGUUAAUCGGAAUUACUGGGCGUAAAGCGUGCGCAGGCGGUUUCUUAAGUCAGAUGUGAAAGCCCCGGGCUUAACCUGGGAACUGCGUUUGAAACUGGGAGACUUGAGUGUGGCAGAGGGGGGUGGAAUUCCACGUGUAGCAGUGAAAUGCGUAGAUAUGUAGAGGAACACCGAUGGCGAAGGCAGCCCCCUGGGUUAACACUGACGCUCAUGCACGAAAGCGUGGGGAGCAAACAGG
rnacentral:rRNA from 1 species